GAUGAACGCUGGCGGCGUGCCUAAUACAUGCAAGUCGAGCGAACGGACGAGAAGCUUGCUUCUCUGAUGUUAGCGGCGGACGGGUGAGUAACACGUGGAUAACCUACCUAUAAGACUGGGAUAACUUCGGGAAACCGGAGCUAAUACCGGAUGAUAUUUUGAACCGCAUGGUUCAAAAGUGAAAGACGGUCUUGCUGUCACUUAUAGAUGGAUCCGCGCUGCAUUAGCUAGUUGGUAAGGUAACGGCUUACCAAGGCAACGAUGCAUAGCCGACCUGAGAGGGUGAUCGGCCACACUGGAACUGAGACACGGUCCAGACUCCUACGGGAGGCAGCAGUAGGGAAUCUUCCGCAAUGGGCGAAAGCCUGACGGAGCAACGUCGCGUGAGUGAUGAAGGUCUUCGGAUCGUAAAACUCUGUUACUAGGGAAGAACAUAUGUGUAAGUAACUGUGCACAUCUUGACGGUACCUAAUCAGAAAGCCACGGCUAACUACGUG
rnacentral:rRNA from 1 species